rnacentral:rRNA from 1 species
CGCAUCUGUGCAUGCAGCAUAUCAAUAGCGGAGGAAAAGAAACUAACAAGGAUUCCCCUAGUAACGGCGAGUGAAGCGGGAAGAGCUCAAAUUUGAAAUCUUAAAGGGUUUCCCUUUACGAAUUGUAGUUUAAAGAAGUGUUUUCUGUUGAGGUUUUGGUAAAAGUUCUUUGGAAUAGGACAUCAUAGAGGGUGAGAAUCCCGUAUUUGACCUUUACUUUCAACUUUGUGAUACACUUUCAAAGAGUCGGAUUGUUUGGGAAUGCAGUCCAAAAUGGGUGGUAAAUUUCAUCUAAAGCUAAAUAUUGGCGAGAGACCGAUAGCGAACAAGUACCGUGAGGGAAAGAUGAAAAGAACUUUGAAAAGAGAGUUAAACAGUACGUGAAAUUGUCAAAAGGGAAGCGUUUGACACCAGUGUUGUUUUUCUGAAAAUCAAUUAAAGAACUGUUUAUGCUAAGUUGUUUAGACUUUAUCAGCUAAUUUGCUUAGUUUUGAGCUUUUCUUUAAUGCACUUUUCAGUUAACAAGUCAACAUCAAUUUCUUUUGCUGUAAAAAAGCUUGAGGAAGGUGGCUUGAGAUUCGUCUUAAGUGUUUAUAGCCUCUUGCCUAUGCAGUCGGAGAGAUUGAGGUCUGCAGCGUAGAUCCUUCGGGGCUAAAUGCAUUUGUGCUAAGUUAUAGCAUUUUAUAGACAACUUGUUGACUAUGAUUUGUCUUGUAGCUUACUCGCUUAUGUUAUUUUACCUACGCUUAGGAUGUUGAGUCGUAGAGCACGCAG